UGAUAACACCCCUUCUGAUUCGGGU
rnacentral:siRNA from 1 species